UACGAAGGGGACUAGCGUUGUUCGGAAUCACUGGGCGUAAAGCGCACGUAGGCGGAUUCGUAAGUCAGGGGUGAAAUCCCGGGGCUCAACCUCGGAACUGCCUUUGAUACUGCGGGUCUUGAGUCCGAUAGAGGUGGGUGGAAGUCCUAGUGUAGAGGUGAAAUUCGUAGAUAUUGGGAAGAACACCGGUGGCGAAGGCGGCCAUCUGGACCAUUUCUGACGCUGAGGCGCGAAAGCGUGGGGAGCAAACAGG
rnacentral:rRNA from 1 species